CCCUACGGGGCGCAGCAGUGAGGAAUAUUGGUCAAUGGUCGGGAGACUGAACCAGCUAAGCCGCGUGAGGGAUGAAGGUACAGAGUAUCGUAAACCUCUUUUGUCAGGGAACAAAGGCGGGGACGUGUCCCCGGAUGAGUGUACCUGAAGAAAAAGCAUCGGCUAACUCCGUGCCAGCAGCCGCGGUAAUACGGAGGAUGCGAGCGUUAUCCGGAUUUAUUGGGUUUAAAGGGGGCGAAGGCGGUCUGUUAAGUCAGCGGUCAAAUCCCGGGGCUCAACCCCGGCCCGCCGUUGAAACUGGCAGG
rnacentral:rRNA from 1 species